AAAGCCCUGUGGGAGACAGAUUUUAUGCUUCAGGAACAAGUAAAUUCUGCCCUCCUGUGUGUACAGAAACAGUGUCUCCAGGUAUUCGGUCUGUCUGUUGCUCCUUCAUUCUUCUAUCCCUGGUAACAAGCAAACAAACAACAGAGCAUUUGUGAGUCCGAAAGUUAAGGUGGUUCACGUUGGCCACAGUGAAGAGGGAGCCCCAUACACUUCCCCUCCCAGAAAUAGACACUCUGCCCCUGCACCCUGAAAAGAUCACCUCACCCCCUGAGCGGAGCAGCCCACAGAGACAAAGGGGGCAAGCCUGGGUGCCCGGAACCCUAGCCCAGGGCAACGGCAAUAUAGGAAGUUACCGCUCAUGGUUCGUUACAGGGCUGUGGCAUUCCCGGGAAGAAAAGAAGGCACAUUGGCCGAGGCGCAGACAGACAUCUGAAUCUUAUUCCCCUGUUCUUACGAGCCGCUUAGAGGUCAUGUUUCCCCCCACUCCGUUUUCUACUAAAGAGAUGACGUCGCGCCCUACUUGCUUACCAGGAGAGGGCAGAAUUUGUGUCAUUAAAGACUCCGUCAUCGCCACCACUGUCAAAGGCAAAUCCCUCCCAAGGCCGGCAUCUGAAUCCGACCACUGGAGCAAGGAUUCUGAGGUUUCGACGUCAAAGCCUACAGCUCCAGAGAAAACCCAGGCGCUCGGAUCCCCCGGGUAGGGGGAGGGCGGGCCACGCUGCGGCAUCCCACCCACUCAGGAAUCCCUUCUUUCCACUUGUCUGAGCAGACUGGGAAGGAGGGCCUCCGGCAACCAGCUGGAAGAGAGUUGGCUGGGGCUCCGCUGUCACUGAUUUAUGAAGGCCUUUCGGGGCCAGAAUGACACCAUCCACCCUCCAUCUACCUCCUGCUAAUUUAUAUUCUCAGAGCUUUAAAUCACAGCGACAGCCCCGCAGGCCCUUUGACCAGUCAAGGGCUUCCGGGGCCCCGCACGCUGCUCUCCUGUCCCCACAGUGGGUCCUACAGUUCCCCAUCCUCCCCAACCUGCUCCAAACCGUACUCCCUCCCAGCUCCUGGGGCUCUCAGGCCCUCUGCUCAAUCAGAUAAACAGCAGAGCAGUGACUUUCUUUUCGCUGACUUGGAAGCUCCCUUGUCUGAAAAACAUUGCCAACGUUAGAAAAAAAACAAAAACAAAAAACCUUAUUGAUGUUAUGACUCACCCUCACCUGGUAUUAUUGCUAAGCUGCAAAGCAAACACCUGCUCCCACCAACAAAAUAAAUGCAAAAUUACUAAGAU